rnacentral:rRNA from 1 species
UGCCAGCCGCCGCGGUAACACGUAGGCACCAAGCGUUAUCCGGAUUUAUUGGGCGUAAAGGGCGCGCAGGCGGUCUUGUCCGUCAGGUGUGAAAGCUCAGGGCUCAACCCCGGAAGUGCACUUGAAACAGCAAGACUUGAAUACGGUAGAGGAGAGAGGAAUUCCUGGUGUAGAGGUGAAAUUCGUAGAUAUUCGGAGGAACACCAGUGGCGAAGGCGGCUUUCUGGACCGAUACUGACGCUGAGACGCGAAAGCGUGGGGAGCAAACAGGAUUAGAUA